ACAACUGGAAAAAAAUUCUCUCUUUAAAAAUUUCUCUUAAAACGUCCCUUAACACUCCAAGUUUGGAUUUGAGAAAAAUCUUCACGUAAUCAAGAUACAAUAAAGUUGGAAUUUGAGGAAAUUUUUCGAUUUGGUAUGAAUUUGUGGUAUGUAUUCAUAUUUUUUCCGGAAAAAUAUAUUUUUUUUAAGGAUUAAUGGUUGUCGCCUCGUCUGUGGAGUGAUUGACGG
rnacentral:lncRNA from 1 species